UACGGAGGAUCCAAGCGUUAUCCGGAUUUAUUGGGUUUAAAGGGUGCGUAGGCGGCCUGUUAAGUCAGGGGUGAAAGACGGUAGCUCAACUAUCGCAGUGCCCUUGAUACUGAUGGGCUUGAAUAAACUUGAGGUAGGCGGAAUGAGACAAGUAGCGGUGAAAUGCAUAGAUAUGUCUCAGAACACCAAUUGCGAAGGCAGCUUACUAAGGUUUAAUUGACGCUGAGGCACGAAAGCGUGGGGAUCAAACAGG
rnacentral:rRNA from 1 species